rnacentral:lncRNA from 1 species
AGAAAAGCCCCUCUGAGGAAGUGACAUUUAAAUGGAAGUCUAAUUAAAUUACUCUAGGAAGAGGACACAGCAAGUACAAACGUAUGACUUGAGAGAAGUCAGAAGACCAGUACAGGUGUCACCGGACUAAAACUGGAGUAUCAGCAGGCAUUCCCUUCUGGAGGCUUAAGGGCAGAAUCCAUUUCCUUGCAUUUUCCAGCUUCUAGAGGCAUCUCCCUGGUCCUUGCAUACUGUCGCCAACAUUUCAGAACUGGCAAUAGGAAACCAUAUCAUGAGCAAAAAUACAGGCAUGUUAAAGAGCUUGAGAUUGUCCAGAGAAAAUUGUGUGUGCUUUGGGGCUGUGUUAAUCUGGUACACGACAAAAUGCUUUAUCACAAGAAGGAUAUGUACCUGGAUCCAGCAGAGUAAGAUGUAAUUCUCAGAUUUCUAUUAAAACUAUUUGGGGAAGACACAAAGCUCUCUUUCCAUUAAAAUUGCCAAGCUUUUACGAUAAGAGUCUGGGACUGCCAGAAUCCAGCCAGUUAUGUUACGUGGAAGUUAUGUGCCUGUGAAUUCGGCCAAUAUGGAAAAAAUUAGAGGCAAGAGAUGGAGAGUCAAUGUCCUUUGAGAACCUGGAUCAAGUCACACCUGAGUUGCCCACCACUGGAU